CUGUAGCUCUCUCCGUCCAAAGAUCGCGAGAAGCUAUUGGGAGGUGGGGCUGUUUUCACCCCCGGGGGGGCGGGGCUUUUCCGCCAAAAUUAAUUAAACUGGGAAACGGAGGCGUGGGCGCCUUUGUGGCGGUGAAGAGCGAAAGAGGGGUUCCUGGUUCUGGGGGAACUUGCUUUUAUAGCGCCCUCUACCGAGAACAGAGGCGACGUGUUUAGCAUCCCCGUUGACGAUUGUAUGCCCUGCCUGUUCCCGUCGGUAACAUACUCACAGGACAUUCUCUCAGCAUGGACCACCACCACUGCAGACGGAGUAGCACUAUAAUGCAGCCUGUCUUAACAGAGGUUGUUUCGAGCCUAGGGAAUCAGUACUGGCUUUCCAGAAAGACCUGCUGUGGUCUUCUUCACGUAAUCAUCAGUCCUGAGUCUACUAUUUGCAAGAAGAUGUCACUGAAGGACACUCAAAGACAAAUAAGGGCGAGUCUGCAAAAGUCAAUGAAAGCAUUCUUUUAGAAUCAACUGAGAUAUAGAAUCUGCAAAAAAAGAGACAACCAGGAAGAGGCCAAGAAUAUCUCUGCAUAGAAUUAAAAUCUGUCUUUCCUGCGACCUGUUUAGACAGGCAUUCCUGGAAGGGUAGUAUGUUCAUCUUUAUGUCCCUGGUAUCUAAGACAGUUCUUAAUAUAUCAAUAAAUAAUUACUAACUUCUUGGACAAAUCCAUGUAUCAUCUGA